CAAACUAUGUGUGACUGGCGGAGCAUGGGCAACCAUGGGGGAGCACAUAGAAGCAUUUUCGCCGUACGCCUGGGCAAAGGUA
rnacentral:ncRNA from 2 species